CACUGAGCCCUGGGGCUUCUCAGAGCUGUCGGGGAGCUGUCUCUGCAGGACCAAGACGUGGGAAUACUCCUCCCGCCCCCCAUCAGACAGCACUGCUCUAUUUUCUAGAAUGAGUGUCCAGAUCAGAGUUCAUUACCUGGCUGUUGGGACAGUAUAGUGUGUGUAAGGUAAUAAUUGCUCACACUCAUUUGACAUGAGUUAGGGUUUAGUCUCAUUAUUUAUUUUGUUAAAUAUUAUCAGGAAAUACUGUGGAAGAAAAUGUUAACUGUAAUUGUAAUAAAGUGUGGACUGCUGCAGAUGGCUGUGAGUGUAAACGUCACAGCACCUUCAUUGGCCCAUGGCCUCCAGAGCCGCUUCCUGCUGCGGGGCAGCCCUCAAAAAUGUGUGCCUAGUUGUUGGAUUUUAGCAGACGUGCUGUGCAACUUUAAGUGGUAUUUGUUUAGCAAGCAACUAAACGCAAAAGUACCAUGCAAUGCAGGUAACAGAACAUUUUAUUUAUUUAUUUUGAGACAGAGUCUCACUCUGUUGCCCAGGCUGAAGUGCAGAGGCAUGAUCUCAGCUCACUGCAAACUCUGCCUCCCGGGUUCAAGCAAUUUCCAUGCCUCAGCCCCCCGAGUAGCUGGGAUUACAAGCGUGCACCACCACACCUGGCUAAUUUUUGUAUUUUUAGUAGAGACGGGGUUUCACCAUGUUGGCCAAGCUGGUUUUGAACUCCUGACCUCAAGUGAUCCACCCACCUUGGCCUCAUAAAGUGCUGAGAUUACACUCAGGUGUGCUGGGCCACUGUACCUGGCCCAGAAAAUUUAUUUUUAAUUAACUAUUAUAUUCCUAUGAAUACAUGUAUUCUGUUAAAUGAAGAACAACUCUACUGUU
rnacentral:lncRNA from 1 species